GACGAACGCUGGCGGCGCGCUUAACACAUGCAAGUCGAACGGAAAGGCCUGCUUUCCCUUGUGGAUUGCGGGUACUCGAGUGGCGAACGGGUGAGUAACACGUGAGUGAUCUGCCCCCAACUUGGGUAUAAGCCUGGGAAACUGGGUCUAAUUCCCGAUAGGACUGCAGGGUGGUGCCUGUGGUGGAAAACGAUUUUCUAGUGGUUGGGGAUGAGCUCGCGGCCUAUCAGCUUGUUGGUGGGGUAAUGGCCUACCAAGGCGGCGACGGGUAGCCGGCCUGAGAGGGUGGACGGCCACAUUGGGACUGAGAUACGGCCCAGACUCCUACGGGAGGCAGCAGUGGGGAAUAUUGCACAACGGGCGGAAGCCUGAUGCAGCGACGCCGCGUGGGGGAUGACGGCCUUCGGGUUGUAAACUCCUUUCGACCGCGAGGAAGCCACCUGGUUGGAAGGGUGGUGACGGUAGUGGUAGAAGAAGCACCGGCUAACUACGUG
rnacentral:rRNA from 1 species